rnacentral:rRNA from 1 species
AACGAACGCUGGCGGCAUGCCUAACACAUGCAAGUCGAACGAGACCUUCGGGUCUAGUGGCGCACGGGUGCGUAACGCGUGGGAACCUGCCCUUAGGUUCGGAAUAACUCCCCGAAAGGGGUGCUAAUACCGGAUAAUGUCUUCGGACCAAAGAUUUAUCGCCUUUGGAUGGGCCCGCGUUGGAUUAGCCAGUUGGUAGGGUAAAAGCCUACCAAGGCGACGAUCCAUAGCUGGUCUGAGAGGAUGAUCAGCCACACUGGGACUGAGACACGGCCUAGACUCCUACGGGAGGCAGCAGUGGGGAAUAUUGGACAAUGGGCGAAAGCCUGAUCCAGCAAUGCCGCGUGAGUGAUGAAGGCCUUAGGGUUGUAAAGCUCUUUUACCCGGGAUGAUAAUGACAGUACCGGGAGAAUAAGCUCCGGCUAACUCCGUG